UUACACACACAUGUACAGAGGGUCAGGGCCACUGUCUUUAUGGGACAUCAACCCAGGCACUGGACUCCUGGGUGAUCAGGCUCCUUUGGCUGAAGCAAGAAAUAAGCUUUCCUGUCCAAUAUAGUACAUGGCAUAGUACAAGACCCAAGAACUCAGAAGAACAUCAGAACUCCAAAUUUCAGAAGAGUUAAGACUACUGAAGGACUGCUCUGUACAGCAAUAAACAAUACUUCAAAGUUCUCAA